GACGAACGCUGGCGGCGUGCUUAACACAUGCAAGUCGAACGGUGAAGCGCCUUCCUUUUUGGUGGGUGUGGAUGAGUGGCGAACGGGUGAGUAACACGUGAGUAACCUGCCCCCUUCUUCUGGAUAACCGCAUGAAAGUGUGGCUAAUACGGGAUAUUCUGGGUCUGUCGCAUGAUGGGUCUGGGAAAGAUAUUGUUUCGGUGGGGGAUGGGCUCGCGGCCUAUCAGCUUGUUGGUGGGGUGAUGGCCUACCAAGGCGGUGACGGGUAGCCGGCCUGGGAGGGUGGACGGUCACACUGGGACUGAGACACGGCCCGGACUCCUACGGGAGGCAGCAGUGGGGAAUAUUGCACAAUGGGCGCAAGCCUGAUGCAGCGACGCCGCGUGAGGGAUGGAGGCCUGCGGGUUGUGAACCUCUUUCGCCAGUGAAGCAGGCCUGCCUCGUUUGUGGGUGGGUUGACGGUAGCUGGAUAAGAAGCGCCGGCUAACUACGUG
rnacentral:rRNA from 1 species